GCAUAAUUUGACCAUCGAAGUCAUCACUGCGCAGGUGAAUUAUUUUCGUUAUGCACAUGAGCUACAUUCUGAAAGUCAUAUAAACAGCAUUGAAUAAAUGCAGUUACAUAGAUGACCACUUGUCAGUCUGAAGGUGAAUUUCGAGGAAGACGAUACAGAACGUGAUCCUAAACAGUAUCCCAGGGAUUUGGAGGACCGUAAACGAGUGUAGUAGAAGGUAGACACGCGCAUGCACACGCGUACGCACGCUCUCACGUUCCUCCCGGGCCGUGACCCGACUGCGCACGAGCCGCGGAGAAUUCCAUCGUGAAAAGGGCUUCGCGUGUUACAACUACAAACUUAACAUCUAACACAAUACACAAUAUAGUAUACAACAUAUAUAAAGAAAGAGAAGACCCUACCCA